rnacentral:lncRNA from 1 species
GGCCGACACAUGGGCAUGUGGGAUUCUAAUUGUUUCCAUUCUCAAGCAGCAGGGUGCCAUUCCAUGGCCUCAGAGCAGGGUUUCCCAGGGUAACACCAAAUUAGCUGGGUGUGGUAGCACAAGUCUUUAAUCCUACCUACUCAAGAGGCUGAGGCAGGAGAAUCACUUGAACAUGGGAGGCAGAGGUUGCAGUGAGCUGAGAUCACACCACUG